CUAUUAAGUCAUUAGUGCAACAGUGGGACUGCCGUCUGCCUGCCGACAGCACCAGAUGAUCGGUCCUGAUACGUGUUGCCUCGCAGUUUUCCACAUAUUUGCACAGAGGAGCAAUGGGUUAGCAGUGGGACAGUCUGAGCCUCAGGACAUGUCAGGAAAAGAUAGAGAGCAAGGAGGAGGCAGCAGAGAUCCAAAGGGAGCAAGUCGGAAAGAAGAGUAGAGUGCAAACAAAGAGUGGCUUUUUCCAUCAGUUCAACUGCAGCCAACAUAACCCUUCAAACCCAAACUUACACACCCGUCAGGGAAUGUAAAUAUUUGGAUAUGGAUCAGAAAGUUCCCUGCUGUGACCACAGCAUGAGUGAGCUGCGGCGUCAGCACAGCAGAGAGCCUCCACCUGACAUCUGCAGCAGAGGGAUGGCACAGGGGGGUGAGCUGAUUGAAAUAGACAUAUCAGGCUGUCACUGAGGCAGUAAACAGGGCUCCCUCCUGCUGAGAAGAAACCAGAUUCUGUCACCUACCACCCUCCUAUUCCUCUAAACACUUUCCAGCUGCACCUGAGAGGACACAGCCUCAGUCACCUCUCUCUUUAUUUAAACCUCUCAUAUACAUUCAGGCAGUUGAAAACAAGUCAUGGAACAAAGCAGCCUGAGCAGAUGGACACUCAGCCUGCAUGGUCGCAGGUUGGACAGAGUCCUCUAUCAGAUCUGUUUGCCUGCUCAGCAGUGCCCAGACUGACCCCAGCAGACUGCCAGUCUCCUCACCGGUCUACUGCUCCACGUCUCCACCACCACCUCCCACCGUGACCCCUGACCCCUGCCCAGGAUACAGGCGCCACAGAUAUGAUGCAAUUUCUCUCCGACAUGGGCCAGUGGCCUCGGCUGCAACGCGACCCAGGGUAAAUAAAUAUGGGUGUUUAUUUGGUGAGAGUGAGGGAGGCCCACUGGCUCGAGCCGCCCCCAAAUCUCCCAAAAGCACUGUCAUACUAUGAAGUUAUUGUUCUCCACUUAAGUGCACUGUGUACCAUCAAUACAAUGAGAUAUGGUGAUGCCGAGACACACGAGCCACUCAGUUUUUCUUUCUCAUAAGCGGAGGAGAUGCAAACCUCCUUACAUCUUAGUUAUUGAAGCAACAGAAACAUUUGUUAAGUCACAAGGCAUGAUGGGAGUUUAUUGAUCUGCCCUUACGGGAAGAAAGUAUGUGGGAGUGACCUGUGGGAGUUGCCUCCUGAUGCUGUGGCUGCAGCUUGCAUGAUUUUAGCAGAUUUUCCUUUCCCCUAAAGUUCCUCACAAACUCUUUGGUACUGCUUGACCAGCCCAGCUGUCAAGCUACAUCGGCCUCCAAAGGACUAGAGAAGAACCAUGCACCAUGAGCUGCCAGUGUUUCCAGAACCUCCACAUUACCUCUCACACAGACAUCCACACCUUGCUGUGAUCCAUAAAAAGGUCUUAGAUAUAUAGGGUUCAACAAAGGUCUUUAUAUUGUUCUGCCUCUGUUUCCAUCUCUCUACCACAAUCAAGCUGUAUUAAAAAAAAAACACUUUUCAUCCUCCAGUCCCAGAGAAGGUGAAAAACUGGACAUUUUUCAUCCAAACACUACUUCCUACUAACCUGCAGACCUAAACCAGAGCCUCAAGGCAGGAUGUUUACUCUCUGCAACUGGCACCACUGGGACCAGGUGGCUUUGAGAAACCUGCAGUGUGACACAUGAUAAAUCGCCUGUGUUCCUCAGCCUCUCCGUAAGGUCAAAGUUACAGGAAAUUGUAAGCAACCACUUUUAUUGGGAACAAAUAAUAUGUGGGCCGUCAGGGUUUGGAUCCUUUCCCAACGUAAGAUCUAACUCCGAGCUUUGCUCAUGUUUCAGAUUAGUGUUAGCGGUGAGACGAUGAACAUCAGUCCCCCUGUGUUUUCAACCCAAACACUGUCUUUACACUUUUUCGACUCCCCCCCGAAAAUUAGGAUCUCUCUCUCUCAGUGUCUCACUUCUCUUUCUUCUGACUCCCACCCACACGUUUUUCUUUGAGUCUUUCUCUUUCCAUCCUUCUGACCUCAUCCUGGAUACAGUCAAGCGUAGAGGGAAUCAAUCAGCCAUUGUGUUCAGAUUAAAUCACAAAUUAUUAUAAUUGAGAAUAAUGGUUUCCAUGUCAGUUUCAGUUCAACUCUGAAUUGUUCUCAUACUGAUCUGGAAACAAGGGGGCUGGAAGCUCAAAAGUCCAAAGGUGCUUUGCUCUGGCGGGGGGAGAUUCAAGUUAU